GGUUGCUUUGUUUUGUUUUCCAUGGUCCCCAGAGUCUGGCCUAGCCAUUCCAUCGUCCCUCAUGGCAUUCAGCGCAAGAUACCGGUGCUCAGGGAAAUAGCAGGAGAGGUAUAGGGCUACUAAGGGGGUGCACACCAUUCCUGGGUCAAGACAGGUGACAGCUUCCUUCCAGGCCACUUAAGGACCAUCCUGAGCCAACAGAAGCCAGAAGAAAGCCCUGGAGAAGGGUGCUCUGUGACUGCAGCUCUCAGAAAACACAGGAAAAUGGUGUUAUCAGAAUAUUAAAGAACAAAGUAGGAUUCAAGGUCCCCCACACCAAAUGGUAUCUUCUUCGGUCAAUUCAGAAGAUGGUUUUAAAGUGUUCUUCAAACAGAAAGAAGUCCUAUAACAAGAAGUCCUCAGAGCAUCCCUCCUAAGAUCACUCACUCCGAGAUCAGAGAGAUUGUCAUCUCCCAUUUCCUCAAAGGAACAUAUCAUUAAUGACACAAACC
rnacentral:lncRNA from 1 species